UACGUAGGGCGCAAGCGUUAUCCGGAAUUAUUGGGCGUAAAGAGCUCGUAGGCGGUUUGUCGCGUCUGCCGUGAAAGUCCGGGGCUCAACUCCGGAUCUGCGGUGGGUACGGGCAGACUAGAGUGAUGUAGGGGAGACUGGAAUUCCUGGUGUAGCGGUGAAAUGCGCAGAUAUCAGGAGGAACACCGAUGGCGAAGGCAGUGUUCUGGGCCAGUACUGACGCUGAGGAGCGAAAGCGUGGGGAGCAAACAGG
rnacentral:rRNA from 1 species